CAGUAGCCGCGGGAAUACGUAGGCAGCAAGCGUUGUUCGGAAUUACUGGGCGUAAAGAGUGUGUAGGCGGUGCUCUAAGUUCGGUGUGAAAUCUCCCGACUCAACUGGGAGGGUGCGCCGGAAACUGGAGUGCUCGAGCGUGGGAGAGGAAAGCGGAAUUCCUGGUGUAGCGGUGAAAUGCGUAGAUAUCAGGAGGAACACCUGUGGUGUAGACGGCUUUCUGGACCAUUGCUGACGCUGAGACACGAAAGCGUGGGUAGCAAACAGGAUUAGAUACCCGCGUAGUCCCUGUCUCUUAUAC
rnacentral:rRNA from 1 species